rnacentral:ncRNA from 1 species
GCAAAUGCGUUGACGGGGAAAAAACGAUUUUCUUCUGCGUGCAGAGAGCUGCCGGGUGGUGCAAGGCAGUGCGGAGGGUCUCGGUUACUGGCCCCUGAGCGGCAGGGCUGAAGCAGACAGUAGGCCCUGACGGAUGCCCACCGUUACGCGGGCAGCGAUUCGCCCCCAAAAGCCGAUCGUGUCGAGUGGCUGUGUUAUGCAACACGGCAAAGAGAGUGGUACCACGGGUGCCCUGUAACAGAAAUUACAGGCUCUCGUCUCUCAA